GAUGAACGCUGGCGGCGUGCCUAAUACAUGCAAGUCGAGCGAACAGACGAGGAGCUUGCUCCUCUGACGUUAGCGGCGGACGGGUGAGUAACACGUGGAUAACCUACCUAUAAGACUGGGAUAACUUCGGGAAACCGGAGCUAAUACCGGAUAAUAUAUUGAACCGCAUGGUUCAAUAGUGAAAGACGGUUUUGCUGUCACUUAUAGAUGGAUCCGCGCCGCAUUAGCUAGUUGGCAAGGUAACGGCUUACCAAGGCAACGAUGCGUAGCCGACCUGAGAGGGUGAUCGGCCACACUGGAACUGAGACACGGUCCAGACUCCUACGGGAGGCAGCAGUAGGGAAUCUUCCGCAAUGGGCGAAAGCCUGACGGAGCAACGCCGCGUGAGUGAUGAAGGUCUUCGGAUCGUAAAACUCUGUUAUUAGGGAAGAACAAAUGUGUAAGUAACUAUGCACGUCUUGACGGUACCUAAUCAGAAAGCCGCGGCUAACUACGUG
rnacentral:rRNA from 1 species